GGACUUGUGCUAGCUAGGUAUACGAUGUAUUUGGGUUCGACUGUACAUAUAUACGUGAGUUUUGACUUUUACUUAAAAAACAUUAUAACUAUGCAAGGUAUAUGGCUUCUUGAAUACUAUAAUACUUUGAUACAUGCAUACAUAUAGCUAGUACUUGGACAUAAAGCCGUUUAACUUAUUGCAUUAUAUCUCUAGCUAUAGCUAGGAAUGUACUUAUACACAUAUAUGCGCGCGCGAUAUGUGUAGUAGUCCGUAGAAUAUUUGUAGUUCGUUCCCUGUUCAUCUUGUACGUAGUGCUUGCAGUUUCUUGCUUUCUCAGGUUCAUAUAUAUGGGUAGUACUGCAUCAUACGUCUCAAAGAUCCAUAUAUACUAGCCAGCCCUACAAAAAUUGAUGACACGACCAAUAAUUAAAUUUCUGAUGUGGGUCAAUAUAUUUCACAAAACCUGCAGUACAGCUGCACGUACUACAUUUCGCCAACUAAUCUAUCACAAAAGUAGAUAUUAAUUAGCAAUAAGUUUACUGAAACCAACAAUAAAUUAUUGCCUCUGCUAAUCGAUGUUUCGAAAAGAAGCUGCUAGGAUGAACUCGAUAGCUGGCGGCGUUGAAUUGAAGGUAGAAUGUGACUUGAUUUUUAGUCAUUAAUUUCCGAUGCAGCAUCAUCAAGAUUCCCACACGUAUAUAUGUACAAACUUGAUCAGUAGCUUCUUCGAUCCGUCUAUUCUCAGAUCUCUUGAUUAAUUACUCUCAUCCUCAAGGUCAUAUAUAUGCAUGACCAGGAGGAGAUAAAUCAAUUAAUCGAGAUCAAAGCAUAGAACUAACUCAAAGAUGCAUAUAGAUCGUAUGUAUGCAUGCAUGCAUGCAUGCAAUGUGUGAAUCUUGAUGAUGCCACGCCAGAAAUUACCGACUGGCCUGCUUAAUUGCACAUAUCGCCUUUGACUGCUGGCAUUAGUAGCUAGUAGAUAAAUGGCUACAAGCUUUUGUGUGUUUUUUCUUAAAAAAAGAGGAAAUUAUGGAGAACAACAAAUAGAACCUGAGGAGACUAUAUACUUACAUUACACAUAGACAGGUAGCUAGCUAGAGGUAUUUAAAAAUGAAGGUCGAUGGAUCGAGCAGUAGAUCUAGCUAGCUAGGAGGAAGAGGAAUGUCAUGGAAUUGAAGCUAGAGGUUGGGGCAGCAAGCGGCCGGCCGCAUGUACACUACACAGUAGUAUGCAUGCUGCAACUGCAUGCGAGGUAGAGCCAAAGGAUCAAUAAGCUAGCUAGCUAGAUAAACUCUAGCUAAACUAUCAAGAAUCUUCAGACAAAGACAGAAAAAAAACACAUAUAUAAUGCUAGCUGCAAAAAGGAGGUUAGUUGCAAGGGAGUGAAUUGAAGAAGGAUAUAUGUAUGUUCUUUAUCAUAUAUGUAGCUUGAAACAAAUAAAAAAAAAGAGAGAGAGAGAGAUGGAGAAGAACUGAUACAUCGAUCUGGUUGUAACAGCUAGCUAGCUUUGUCUGAACUGAAGCAGCUUGCACAAAGCGAGCUAGAAGGAAGAAGAGGAGAGGAAAGAUGGAGAGAGCAUGCAGCGAGCAGAGAGAGAUGCAUAUGCCAAGAGACGAUGGCGCGCACACACACACACACUUAUAUACAAGGGAAAUAGAGAGGAAAUUGAAAUGGCUUAGCUUCGGUAGCAGCUGGCCGGCUGAUGUGCAGUCAGCCUGCCUGUGGCUGGCCUCCUGAAUGCAGCUACCUAGCUCGAUCUGCCAAACAGUUAUGCACUGUGCAUGCCCCACACACACACGACCUGGUCUGAGCAACUUAACGAGCUAGCUAGCUAGCUAUAUACGAUUUAUAUAUGAUAUGAAAUGUGAUACUACGUGUACUGUACAUGUACUCGUAUAUAUCGAUCGAUGAGGCCCAACGGAUGCGUAUAUACACGUAUGCGCAUACGUAGACAUGCAACGUAGAGUGGUGGUUAGACAUCGCCAUCGAUGGGUGAGGCCCAAAAGACGGAUCGAGGAGGCUUUUACUGUCUGCUUCUGCCGCCUUCAUUUGCU
rnacentral:lncRNA from 1 species